AAGGCCAGUGCUUGCACUGGUACUCGAGUGGCGAACGGGUGAGUAACACGUGGGUGAUCUGCCCUGCACUUCGGGAUAAGCCUGGGAAACUGGGUCUAAUACCGGAUAGGACCACAUUUUGGAUGGUGUGGUGGAAAGUUUUUCGGUGUGGGAUGAGCUCGCGGCCUAUCAGCUUGUUGGUGGGGUAAUGGCCUACCAAGGCGUCGACGGGUAGCCGGCCUGAGAGGGUGUACGGCCACAUUGGGACUGAGAUACGGCCCAGACUCCUACGGGAGGCAGCAGUGGGGAAUAUUGCACAAUGGGCGCAAGCCUGAUGCAGCGACGCCGCGUGGGGGAUGACGGCCUUCGGGUUGUAAACUCCUUUCGCUAGGGACGAAGCGCAAGUGACGGUACCUGGAGAAGAAGCACCGGCUAACUACGUGCCAGCAGCCGCGGUAAUACGUAGGGUGCGAGCGUUGUCCGGAAUUACUGGGCGUAAAGAGCUCGUAGGUGGUUUGUCGCGUCGUUUGUGUAAGCCCGCAGCUUAACUGCGGGACUGCAGGCGAUACGGGCAUAACUUGAGUGCUGUAGGGGAGACUGGAAUUCCUGGUGUAGCGGUGGAAUGCGCAGAUAUCAGGAGGAACACCGAUGGCGAAGGCAGGUCUCUGGGCAGUAACUG
rnacentral:rRNA from 1 species